rnacentral:rRNA from 1 species
CCUGUUUAUCAAAAACAUUUCUUACUAAAUAGUAGGUAGGCUCUGCUCAAUGAAUUUAAUAGCCGCGGUAUCUUAACUGUGCUAAGGUAGCAUGAUAAUUUGUUUUAUAAUUGAGAACUGGAAUGAAUGAGUUAAUGAUCAAGCUAUUUUCCCCCGGAAAAAUAAGAAUUUUAUAUUUAAGUUCAAAAGCUUAACUUUCUAGGAAGACGAUAAGACCCUAUAAAACUUUAUUAAAAAUAUAUACAUAAAGAUUAAGUAAAAUAAUAAAUAUUAAUUGAGCUGGGGCGGUUUUAAAAGGACACUUAAAAAAAUAACAAGUUUUCUUGAGUUUUAAGAUCUCUCUAAGAUUUGGAUCAAGUUACUUUAGGGGUAACAGCGUAAUGCUCUUGAAGAGAACUUAUCGACAAAAGAGACUUACGACUCGAUGUUGAAUUGAGAGGCCUUAAUAAAGUAAAAAUUUUUUUAGGAGGUCUGUUCGACCUUUAAAUUCUCGCGUGAUCUGAGUCAGACCG